UUGGAGGGCAAGUCUGGUGCCAGCAGCCGCGGUAAUUCCAGCUCCAAUAGCGUAUAUUAAAGUUGUUGCAGUUAAAAAGCUCGUAGUUGAAUUUCGGGGUUAGUAGGCUGGUCGUGCCACAGGUAUGCACUGGUCUUACUGAUUCCUCCUUCCUGAUGAACCGUAAUGCCAUUAAUUUGGUGUUGCGGGGAGUCUGGACUGUUACUUUGAAAAAAUUAGAGUGUUUAAAGCAGGCUAACGCUUGAAUACAUUAGCAUGGAAUAACGAAAUAGGACGUUCGAUCCUAUUUUGUUGGUUUCUAGGAUUGACGUAAUGAUUAAUAGGGAUAGUUGGGGGCAUUAGUAUUCAAUUGUCAGAGGUGAAAUUCUUGGAUUUAUUGAAGACUAACUACUGCGAAAGCAUUUGCCAAGGAUGUUUUCAUUAAUCAAGAACGAAAGUUAGGGGAUCGAAGACGAUCAGAUACCGUCGUAGUCUUAACCAUAAACUAUGCCGACUAGGGAUCGGAUGAUGUUAAUUUUUUAAUGACUCAUUCGGCGCCUUACGGGAAAC
rnacentral:rRNA from 1 species